AGUAACGCGUGAGGAACCUGCCUCAAAGAGGGGGACAACAGUUGGAAACGACUGCUAAUACCGCAUAAGCCCACGGUGCCGCAUGGCACAGAGGGAAAAGGAGUAAUCCGCUUUGAGAUGGCCUCGCGUCCGAUUAGCUAGUUGGUGAGGUAACGGCCCACCAAGGCGACGAUCGGUAGCCGGACUGAGAGGUUGAACGGCCACAUUGGGACUGAGACACGGCCCAGACUCCUACGGGAGGCAGCAGUGGGGAAUAUUGCACAAUGGGGGAAACCCUGAUGCAGCGACGCCGCGUGGAGGGAGAAGGUCUUCGGAUUGUAAACUCCUGUUGUUGGGGAAGAUAAUGACGGUACCCAACAAGGAAGUGACGGCUAACUACGUGCCAGCAGCCGCGGUAAAACGUAGGUCACAAGCGUUGUCCGGAAUUACUGGGUGUAAAGGGAGCGCAGGCGGGAAGACAAGUUGGAAGUGAAAUCUAUGGGCUCAACCCAUAAACUGCUUUCAAAACUGUUUUUCUUGAGUAG
rnacentral:rRNA from 1 species